CACGUAGGGAGCAAGCGUUGUCCGGAUUUACUGGGCGUAAAGAGCGCGCAGGCGGUCGUUCAAGUCGCGUGUGAAAGCCCCCGGCUCAACUGGGGAGGGUCACGCGAUACUGAUCGACUCGAAGGCAGGAGAGGGUAGUGGAAUUCCCGGUGUAGUGGUGAAAUGCGUAGAUAUCGGGAGGAACACCAGUGGCGAAGGCGACUACCUGGCCUGUUCUUGACGCUGAGGCGCGAAAGCUAGGGGAGCAAACGGG
rnacentral:rRNA from 1 species